UCUUAGAAAAUUUUAGGGUCAUACUCAUAAAAAAAUUAAAAUAAUCCACUUUUAUUUGGACAAUCAUUAUUUCUAAUAUUUGGGACAGAUCAUUGUUGGCUACCAAAAUAAAUUUUUUAAUGUUUUUUAACUGUUUUUGAAGUCACAAAUUCAUUACCGUAAUGUGUCCUAAGGGGAAAAAAAUUAUUUCGCCUCAAUUUAUUAUUAUGAAUAAUCAAGCAGGUUUAUAAAAAAAUAUUAUGAAUUUGUUUAAAUAUACAUAAAUUAAUAAAAUAUGAUAAUAUAUAAUAAUUUCCUGUUAAGUAAUUCAGAAUAUUGUAAUAAAAGUGAGUGUCCGGAGGUUCAACUCUCAUUACCGUUGCACCGUGUUCAAAGUCCUGUAAUAUUCACAGCACUUUUUUAAAUAAAGUUUUUCUGACCCAUGAUGCACCACAAAGAAGAGAAGACAAAGAUGGCUACAAGGUAUCAGAAGCGCAAGGAAAAAGGGUUGUUAAAGGCAGCUGCAGAUCUGACACCCAGGCAGCUGCAGAAACAGCGAAAAAAAUGGAGGGAAAAUUCUAAUCGAUAUAAUAAAAAGAAGCAAACAGUUAAACACAUACUAAAUGAAACCCCUCCCUCAGAUGACAGUGUGAAUCAAAUCAACCCUCAGCCUCAACCACAACUUUGUAAAAGAUUAAUCCAACCAAAGACCGUGAACUCUAAUCCAUCUGCAACAUCAACUCCAAAGCGGAAAAAAAAAACAGCCAAAUUAAGAGAAAAAC